rnacentral:rRNA from 1 species
UACAGGGGUCUCGAGCGUUAGGCGGAAUCACUGGGCUUAAAGCGUGUGUAGGUGGAUGCCUAAGUACCUUGUGAAAUCCCACGGCUUAACCGUGGAACUGCUUGGUAUACUGGGUGUCUUGAGUCACUCAGGGGCGAGCGGAACAAAUGGUGGAGCGGUGAAAUGCGUAGAUAUCAUUUGGAACGCCAAUGGUGAAAACAGCUCGCUGGGGGUGCACUGACACUGAGACACGAAAGCCAGGGGAGCGAACGGG